rnacentral:lncRNA from 10 species
AGGGAGCAGACGUGGACCAUGGACCCCACACAGUGAAGCUGAGGCUGAGUGGUUUUGAAUUGGGAUGGGACUAUCUCCACAUCCAAACCCUGCCCCUUCCUAGGUGUGUGUCUUCAACAAAUGACUGAACUUCUCUGGACCUUGCUCCCCUUAUUAUAAGGACCAUCAUGCUCACUUCAUGAGGCUCUAAUGAAGGUUAAAGGAGACAGCACUAAGGGAGUAGUAAUGCUCAAAAAACAGUAGCUGUAAUAAUAAUAAUUAAUAUUACAAUUAGAUCCAUCCCCACUUGCAUCUGUGCCUGCACCUGCACUGCACCUGAGCCAUCCUCCACCUGCACCUGAGCCAUCCUCCACCUGUACCUGCAUCUGCACCUGAGCCAUCCUCCACCUGCACCUGCAUCUGCACCUGAGCCAUCCUCCACCUGCACCUGAGCCAUCCUCCACCUGUACCUGCAUCUGCACCUGAGCCAUCCUCCACCUGCACCUGCAUCUGCACCUGAGCCAUCCUCCACCUGCACCUGCAUCUGCACCUGAGCCAUCCUCCACCUGCACCUGAGCCAUCCUCCACCUGUACCUGCAGUGCCGUCGCCACCUCUGCCACCACUGUUCUCACCAGCCCCAGCCCCACCCCGACUGUCAGCUACCACAAGGCCUUCCCUCCUGAAAGCUCCAUGGCCAUAAACAGUUUAUGUGAUUAUUACAUUUAGCCCACAUUUGCAAUGACUUCCUCUCUUUAAUCACUUUGAAGAUGUUUCAAAUUCCUUUCCAACGUGACUGAAAUCAAAGUGGCACCUGUGAAGGGAGAAAGCCUGCCUGCCGGUGCGAGGUGGAGACGUAAAACAGUCAGUAGAACCUGUGCAGAACAAUGUCAAAGAGGCCCUGGAUUAAAGAACAUUUCAGUGUGGAGACUCUCGGACGGCACACACUCCAAGAGCAAGAAUUCCUACGGGAAGAAGGUGCACUUUUGCAGGUCCUGAUGCCUCCGGGUCUUGGAUAACACCAUCCUCUACUUAGAGCUCCAGCCUCCAGCAUCCCCAAGCCAGCCUGCCCCCCACGCUGCCAGCAGAGACAUCUUUCUAAAACACAAAUGGAAUGUUACUGCUCAAAACCUUGCUGCAGCUUCUGGGGUGUUACUCUUGAAAGAAACUACAACAGUUCUCCAGCUUCUCCGGAAUCCCCCAACCCACCUCAGCCAGAGGGAAGAAAAUUUGGGCAAUCUGCAACUUGAGGCAACAACGGAAG